CAUAUGCGUACUAUCAUUGUUAUUAUUCUCACGUUUCCCACAGGCUGUGAUCCAGAGUGAUAAAUUCGAUGCGCGUUGAUUCCUCAUAAACACGAAUGAUUCAAGUUUCAAGACGUAUAGUGAUCGCAUGAAGAGAUUUUCAGAGAUUUUCAAGAAUAGACAAGCGAAGUAAAUUACCGAAAUGGAUACAGGAACAUUUGAACGAUAGCUUAUGCAACUUAUCAACCGAAGAAGCUAUACAGAUCAGUAAAAGAUGGUUACGACAAAUGGCACAGCCAUUCACGCACGAGAACCAGCUUGGCUUGUCAUUAUUGACGAGAGAACAACUUGAGAAAGAAGA